AUGUUGUAUGAAAGGAGAGAAGGUUAGUACUCCCCUUGACUUUGAGGAAGAAGACCAAGAAGCCUCAUGAGGAAAAGGACAAAGAGGACCACGAGGGCUGUUUGAGGGCUUACUGGUCGUUUUCAUUCCUCGUGUCUGG
rnacentral:snRNA from 1 species